rnacentral:tRNA from 1 species
GGAGAGGUGGCUGAGCGGUCGAUAGCAGCAUCCUGCUAAGAUGUUGACCGGGAAACCGGUCCGAGGGUUCGAAUCCCUCCCUCUCCG